rnacentral:lncRNA from 1 species
AAAUUUCCUCUUCUUGAGUGAUUAGGGUUUGGAUUCUUGAAGGUUUUUUGUUGAAAAAUUACCAGAAAACUCAAGUAAUACAAUAGAUACAUACAUUCCUCCAUGGAGCACGAUUUAUUCUGUUUUUAUGUGUCUUAUGCGAAGUGAUUUUAGAGGAGCAGUUCAAUUUUUUGGAGAUCUCGGUUGGUUCCUUUGUGGAACGUGACUUGCUGUAUAAUAAACAUUUGAAUCUAAGUGAUUCGAGAAUGGGCAGCUCGGAGGGCAAAAAUCUGUGUUGGUUGAUCUUUGUGAUCAAGAUUGAUUCCUGUUGUUAAUAGUGUUUGCAAUUGUUGUUCUAGCAAAGAUAAGUCCUGUACUUGGUUCUUUGUUGUAAAUUGCCGGAACAUUAUUGUAAUUUGCUGCCUAUUUUUGGGACUUUAUAGUGCAACCGAAUUUUAUCCAUUUUUAAUGGAUGCUCAACAGGGGAUUAGGCAUUAAAAGUGGUCGCCGAACCUCUAGGGCUUCGGCCGAAAAAUCCUUGUGUUCAUUUUUAUUUCAUGUACUUUAUUUUUAGUUUUUGAUUGUGUUUUUGUAAUCUUGGUUAAUAUUCGUAUCCCUCGAUUUUUCAGUGAUAUCAGAGCAACCUGGACUACUGGAGCCUUGUGAUUUCUUGAUUAAUCCUGAUUCCUGAAACCUGCAGUACACAUUGGCCGGUGGAAAUUGAGUUUUAUCAAACUCAUUGGUGACAUCUUUCCUGCAUUCUGUAAUUAAUUCUCUCAGUAGAGUCUCCUAUUUUUUCCUUUGAUUUGCCUUGCACUAACAAAACCUACAGUGGCUGGUCUUUGUCUAAAGGCUCAAGAAGUCUUGGGAAUCUGAGAUAACAACACUAGUAGGAGUGCAAUUGGAAGGUCUUGCUGGAGAAGUUAGUUGAGGCAUAGGAUUGCUAUCUCUGUUCUUUGUGAUUCUGCCUUCUGUACUUAGUGUUAAGUGUUUACUGCUUUGUGAAAACUUGAAAUAAGUGCAUUGGUCAUCAAUUCCCAAUCCCCUGACUGCCUGCAGUAUUCUUGUUGUAUGUCCCUGUAUGUUCUUGAAAUCAAACUUGUGUACUGUGAACUAUCUCGGUGAAUCUUGUCAUGGCUACUACUAAGUUUGAAUUGAGCAUGUUUAAUGGGAGGGGGGACUUUAACAUGUGGAGCUAGAAAAUGAGGGCUAUUUUAAUGCAAACGAAAUGUGCUAAAGCCUUAGAUAAUUCAUGGCCUGCUGAAAUGUCUGUUGCUAAAAGAACCGAGUUAGAAGAAAUAGCGUGGAGUACUAUUUUCUUGUACCUUUCAGACAAUAUGAUCAGGUUUAUAGGUGAAACUAAAACUGCUGAAGAGUUGUGGACUAAAUUGAAAGCUCAAUAUGAGCCAAAAACUAUUCCAAACAAAUGUUUUUUGCUAAAACAAUUCUUCUCUUUCAAAAUGGACCCUUUGGUUGACUUGGAUGAAAACUUGGACAGAUUUACAAAAUUGACCCAGGACCUUGCCAACUGUGAUGAGAAAUUAUCAGAAGAUCAACUGGCCGUGGUCUUGUUAAACUCCAUUAGUGAUGGCAUAGAGACCUAAAGAAUGCCUUGGAAUAUGGAAGAGAUGAGCUUACCACAGAUAUCAUUAUAAAUGCCUUAAGAAAUAGGGUUAUUGAAUUAAAAUCAGAUUCUAUCAACCAACAAAGUGGAGAAAAUCUUUUGAUAAAAAACAAAAAUGUUGGUAAAUCUAAUUUUCAUUCAAAAUUUCAAAAUGACCCUAAGAAAAGAAAUAAUGACAAAAUGAAAUCAAAAACUAAGGCAAAGGAAAAGAAAUGUUAUUACUGUGGUAAGUUGGGUAACUUUGCAAAAGAUUGCUACAAGAAGCAAAAUGAUUUGAAAGGAAAUAAAUUAAAUGAGGGUAAUGUUGUUUUGUCCUAUGAUAAGUAAAAAUUUGAUAAUGGCCUUGUUCUUGUAAAUGUUGAAAGGAACCUAAAUCAAGAAUGGAUUCUUGAUUCAGGUUGUUCUUUCCACAUGUGUCCUAAUAAAAACUAUUUUUUGGACUUUGAACAAACUAAAGGGGGCCAAGUUAUCAUGGGAAACAACAUGACCUGCAAAGUGAAAGGUAUUGGAACCAUAAAAUUGCUCUUAGAAAAUGGCAGAAUUUUAUUGUUAAAGGGGGCCAGAUUUGUUCCUGAAUUAGAAAGAAACCUUGUGUCUCUAGGAAUGUUGGAUGACAUGGAGUUUGACAUAAAAUUGGGUCAAGGAUACAUAAAAAUCUUUAGGGGUAGUGAUUUGAUCACUUCUAUCCCAAAGAGACAUGGUUUAUACUUUCUAAAUGCAAAACCUUUAUUGGGUCUUUCAACAGCAGUUAUAAAUGAUGAAUUUAAUCUUGCAAAAUUGUGACAUUGUAGAGUUGGUCACAUUGGUGAAAAAGGUUUAAAGACUUUACAAAAUAAAGGUGUAUUUGGAAAAUCAAAUAUUGGUGAUUUGUCUAAAUGUGAACAAUGUUUGAUUGGCAAGCAAGUUAAGUUACCUUUUCCCACUAGUACUCAUAAAUCAAAGCAAAUUCUAGAAUACUUACAUUCUGAUUUGUGGGGCCCUGCAUCCACCCCUACAUUGUCUGGUUACAAGUAUUACUUGCUAAUUAUUGAUGAUUUUUCAAGAAAAAUUUGGGUAUUUCUUUUGAAAGUUAAAGAUAAAAUAUUUGCUACAUUUAAAGAUUGGAAAACCCAAAUUGAAAAUCAAAGUAAUUAGAAAAUCAAAACCUUGAGAACCGACAAUGGUCUAGAAUUUUACAAUUAUGAGUUUAAUGAGUUUUGCAAGUUGCAUGGCAUUUUAAGAUAUAGAACUGUGAUCUAUACACCCCAACAAAAUGGCAUUGCAGAAAGAAUGAAUAGGACUUUGNACACACCCCAGCAAAAUGGCAUUGCAGAAAGAAUGAAUAGGACUUUGUUGAAUAAAGUUAGAUGCAUGCUUUUAAGUUCUGGCUUGCCCAAAUUAUUUUGGGGUGAAGCUGUUAAAACUGCUGCAUAUUUGAUUAAUAGAAGUCCUACAAGUGCUUUAAAUUUUGAUGUGCCUGAAUCUGUGUGGACACAAAAGCCUGUGAACUAUUCUUACUUGAAAACAUUUGGUUAUGCUGCAUAUGCUCAUCAAAACAUAGAGAAACUUGAACCUAGAUCCCUUAAAUGUGUGUUUUUAGGUUAUACUGAAAAUGUUAAAGGAUAUAGGCUGUGAGUUUAUGGGGAAAAAGGUUACAGGGUUAUUAUAAGAAGAGAUGUGGUCUUUAAUGAGUCAUGUAUGCCAUGUUUGGAAGGGAAAGAGAGAAAUUUGACUGAAAAUGAUGUCCAAAUUGAGGUGGAGCCUAUUAAAAUUGAUAAUACCAGUUCUGUCCCCCCAGAAACAGCAACUAUUGAGGCUGACCAGAAUGAAAACGAGCCUAAUUUGGCUGAACCUGAGCAGUAUAAUGAUGAUAUUACACCUCUAGAUGAAUACCAGCUCACUAGAGAUAGGGAUAGGAGGCAAAUUAAACCACCGGCUUGGUUCAAUAGUGAUGACUUUGUGUCUUUGUUCACUUACCAAGAAGAAACUGAAUCUGAACCUAAUUCCUAUCAUGAAGCCUUGAGAUCUAAAGAUUCUAAGCGGUGGUUGAGUGCUAUGGAAGAAGAAAUGUCUUCCUCAUACAAGAAUGAAACUUGGGAAUUGGUUGACAAAUCUAAGGAUAAGAAACUAGUUGAUUGCAAGUGGAUUUAUAAGAUAAAGGAAGGAGAAGGUGGAACUAACAAUGUUAGAUACAAGGCUAGGCUUGUUGCCAAGGGUUUCACACAAAAGGAGGGUGUGGACUAUGAUGAGAUUUUUUCCCCCGUUGUUAAAUAUACAACUAUAAGAUGUAUUCUUGCUUUGGUUGUGCAAUUUAAGUGGAAACUUGAUCAACUAGAUGUAAAAACUGCAUUCUUGUAUGGUGAAUUGGAUGAAGUGAUCUACAUGAGACAUCCUCUAAGGUUUAUUCAAGGAAAUCCUGAAAAAACUGUGUGUUUGUUGAAAAAAUUAUUAUAUUGACUAAAACAAGCUCCAAGACAAUGAUAUAAAAGAUUUGAUUCAUUUAUCUUGAAACUUGGGUUUAGUAGAAACAAUUAUGAUACAUGUCUUUAUUGUAAAGGAAGUGGAGGUAAAGAUUCAUUGUAUCUUGUACUUUAUGUUGAUGAUAUGUUUCUUGCUAGUGCUAAUAAAUCUGAAAUUGAUGAUAUCAAACACAAAUUAAAAUCAGAAUUUAAAAUGAAGGAUCUUGGUCCAGCUAAGAAAAUACUUGGCAUGCAAAUUAUUAGAGAUGAGAAAUCUGAUUGCUUGUUCUUAUGUCAACUAGAUUAUGUUAAUGAGAUCCUAAAGAGAUUUAAUAUGUUUGAUUGUAAACCUGUGACUUUAUCCCUUGCUAAUCACUUUAUAUUAACAUCUGAUUCAUGUCCUAAAACUGAAGAUGAACUUGAAAGAAUGUCUAAUAUACCUUAUGCUAAUGCUAUUAGUUCAGUCAUGUACUUAAUGAUUUGUACCAGACCUGAUUUGGCUUUUAGUAUUAGUGUUUUGAGUAGAUUUAUGGGGAAUCCUGGUGAAACUCAUUGGGAAGCUUUGAAGUGGUUGUUGAGAUACUUAAAGGGUUCAUCUAACUUAGAUUUGAUGUUUAAAAUGGAUAAAGAGGGGGUAAUUUUAAAGGGUUAUACAGAUUCUGAGUUUGCUGGAAAUAGAGACAAUAGAAAAUCAACUUCAUCUUAUUUUUACACUUUGUGUGGUACUGUAAUAAGUUGGAAAUCUCAGUUACAAAAAAAUGUUGCUCUAUCUUCCACAAAGGCUGAAUAUAUUGCUGCCACUGAUGCCAUUAAAGAAGGUAUAUGGCUGCAUGGUUUGUUGAAUGAACUUGAUUUUGUAGACACUAAUCCAAUAUUAUAUUUUGACAACCAAAGUGCAAUCCAUUUGAGUAAGAAUCCCAUGUUCCAUGAUAGAACGAAGCAUGUUGAUGUAAAAUACCAUUUUAUAAGGGAUAUUAUUUCAAAGGGGUUGCUGAAAAUUAAUAAAAUACCUACUUUGUAUAAUGCAUCUGAUAUGGGAAUUAAGGUGAUACCUUUAAAUAAGUUUUAAAACUAUUUAAAGAUGUUAUCUAUUGAUUCUUUUCAUUGAUUGUACAAAUACAAAGAGCAAAUGAAGUUAUAAAUGUUGGUGAAGCUCCUGGAUGCACUAUAGGUUCAAAUUUUGGAAGCAAGGUGGAGAUUGUUGAGAAAAAUAUAAAAGUGUUCCAAAAUUUUUAAAAGAAAAGAAACGUGUUUUUCCUUUUUGACCAUUGGAUAUUCUACCUAACCAUGUGAUAUUUUGAAAGAUACACAUUAAAUGAGGCAAAGAUUUUUUUUCUUCCAUAAAUUACUCUCUCUCUCUCUCUCUCUCUCUCUCUCACGUGCACUUUGAAGAAAAGAAAAGUCUCUCUCUCUCUCUUCUUUCACUUCACUUCUCUUCUCUGUUACGAAAAUUCCCUCUUCUUGAGUGAUUAGGGUUUGGAUUCUUGAAGGUUUUUUGUUGAAAAAUUACCAGAAAACUCAAGUAAUACAAUAGAUACAUACAUUCCUCCGUGGGGCACGAUUUAUUCUGUUUUUAUGUGUCUUAUGCGAAGUGAUUUUAGAGGAGUAGUUUGAUUUUUUGGGGAUCUCAAUUGUUUCCUUUGUCGAAAGUGACUUGCUGUAUAAUAAACAUUUGAAUCUAAGUGAUUUGAGAGUGGGCAGCUCAGAGGGCAAAAAUCUGUAUUGGUUGAUCUUCUUUGCGAUCAAGAUUGAUUCCUAUGGUUAGUAGUGUUUGCUAUUGUUGUUCUAGCAAAGAUAAGUCCUGUACUUGGUUCUUUGUUGUAAAUUGCUGGAACAUUAUUGUAAUUUGUUGCCUAUUUUUGGGGCUUUAUAGUGCAAUCGAGCUUUAUCCAUUUUUAAUGGAUGCUCAACAAGGGAUUAGACGUUAAAAGUGGUCGCCGAACCUUUG